GUGGUCUGGGAAAGGCUCCUGUGUGACGAACCCCGCCUGGGGGGGUGCAGCCUCGGACCAGGCAGCCCCACCCUGACCUAAAGUAAAUUCCCAGGGGGAGUUUUCCCUGGGUUUUGCAGUAACAGGU
rnacentral:scRNA from 1 species